rnacentral:rRNA from 1 species
AUUGAACGCUGGCGGAAUGCUUUACACAUGCAAGUCGAGCGGCAGCGCGGGGGCAACCCUGGCGGCGAGCGGCGAACGGGUGAGUAACAUAUCGGAACGUACCCCGUCGUGGGGGAUAACACAGCGAAAGCUGUGCUAAUACCGCAUACGACCUGAGGGUGAAAGCGGGGGAUCGCAAGACCUCGCGCGAUGGGAGCGGCCGAUAUCGGAUUAGCUUGUUGGUGAGGUAAAGGCUCACCAAGGCGACGAUCCGUAGCUGGUCUGAGAGGACGACCAGCCACACUGGAACUGAGACACGGUCCAGACUCCUACGGGAGGCAGCAGUGGGGAAUUUUGGACAAAUGGGGGGCAACCCUGAUCCAGCCAUUCCGCGUGAGUGAAGAAGGCCUCGG